CCUACGGGCGGCAGCAGUGGGGAAUAUUGGACAUUGGGCGAAAGCCUGAUCCAGCCAUGCCGCGUGUGUGAAGAAGGCCUUCGGGUUGUAAAGCACUUUCAGUGGGGAAGAAAGCCUUGGGGCUAAUACCCUCGAGGAAGGACAUCACCCACAGAAGAAGCACCGGCUAACUCCGUGCCAGCAGCCGCGGUAAUACGGAGGGUGCGAGCGUUAAUCGGAAUUACUGGGCGUAAAGCGCGCGUAGGCGGUCUGAUAAGCCGGUUGUGAAAGCCCCGGGCUCAACCUGGGAACGGCAUCCGGAACUGUCAGGCUAGAGUGCAGGAGAGGAAGGUAGAAUUCCCGGUGUAGCGGUGAAAUGCGUAGAGAUCGGGAGGAAUACCAGUGGCGAAGGCGGCCUUCUGGACUGACACUGACGCUGAGGUGCGAAAGCGUGGGUAGCAAACAGGAUUAGAUACCCCAGUAGUC
rnacentral:rRNA from 1 species